GGGCCGUUAGCUCAGUCGGUAGAGCAGCUGGCUUUUAACCAGUUGGUCGGAGGUUCAAAUCCUCCACGGCCCACCA
rnacentral:tRNA from 2 species